rnacentral:rRNA from 2 species
AGGAACAGAAACCAACCGGGAUUGCCUCAGUAACUGCGAGUGAAGUGGCAAAAGCUCAAAAUUGAAAUCCGGUACCUCUGGUGCCUGAGUUGUAAUUUGGAGAGACAAAUUUGGUUGACGGUGCCGGCCUAGGUUCCUUUGAACAGGACAACACAGAGGGUGAGAAUCCCGUGCCUGGCUGGAUGACUGUCACGUUUCUAGAUUGUCUUCGACGAGUCGAGUUGUUUGGGAAUGCAGCUCAAAAUGGGUGGUAAAUGUCAUCUAAAGCUAAAUAUUGGCGAGAGACCGAUAGCGCACAAGUAGAGUGAUCGAAAGAUGAAAAGCACUUUGAAAAGAGAGUCAAAAAGUACGUGAAAUUGCUGAAAGGGAAGCGCUUGAGACCAGACUCGAACCGUGGUGAUCAGCCGUGCUUCUGCGCGGUGUCAAUUGCCACGGUUCGGGCCAGCAUCGGUUCUGGCGGUCGGAUAAAAGGUGGAGGAAUGUAGCUUCCCUCGGGUAGUGUUAUUAGCCCCCACCACAAUGCGGCCAGCCGGGACCGAGGACCGCGCGGGCUUCCGCUAGGAUGNUGGCGUANUGG